UACGUAGGGACCAAGCGUUGUUCGGAUUUACUGGGCGUAAAGGGCGCGUAGGCGGUGCGGUAAGUCACUUGUGAAAUCUCUGAGCUUAACUCAGAACGGCCAAGUGAUACUGCAGUACUAGAGUGCAGAAGGGGCAAUCAGAAUUCUUGGUGUAGCGGUGAAAUGCGUAGAUAUCAAGAGGAAUACCUGAGGUGAAGACGGGUUGCUAGGCUGACACUGACGCUGAGGCGCGAAAGCGUGGGGAGCAAACAGG
rnacentral:rRNA from 1 species